UGGGGAAUAUUGGACAAUGGGCGAAAGCCUGAUCCAGCCAUGCCGCGUGUGUGAAGAAGGUCUUCGGAUUGUAAAGCACUUUAAGUUGGGAGGAAGGGCAGUAAGCGAAUACCUUGCUGUUUUGACGUUACCGACAGAAUAAGCACCGGCUAACUCUGUGCCAGCAGCCGCGGUAAUACAGAGGGUGCAAGCGUUAAUCGGAAUUACUGGGCGUAAAGCGCGCGUAGGUGGUUCGUUAAGUUGAAUGUGAAAGCCCCGGGCUCAACCUGGGAACUGCAUCGAAAACUGGCGAGCUAGAGUAGGGCAGAGGGGGGUGGAAUUCCAUGUGUAGCGGUGAAAUGCGUAGAUAUGGGAAGGAACACCAGUGGCGAAGGCAACCACCUGGGCUCAUACUGACGCUGAGGUGCGAAAGCGUGGGGAGCAAACAGG
rnacentral:rRNA from 1 species